rnacentral:rRNA from 1 species
GUAAAGCAUUAAAUUUAAAAGAUUUGGCGGUAUUUUAAAUAAUUAGAGGAACCUGUAUAAUAAUUGAUAAUCCACAAUAAGAUAAACUUAGAAAUUUAUGUAUUGCUGUUUGAAGAUUAUUAUUAAUUAAGUUUUUAAAUUUUUAAUUUAAUUUAAUUCAAGUCAAAAUAUAGUUUGAUUAAGAUAUGGGUUACAUUUUUAUUUUGAAAUUGGAUUUAAUAGUAA